CACACACGCACACACACUUUCCUCCCUCUUCCCCCACCUCCCUAUGCCAUUUUCUGCAGUCAGCGUUCAAAAAAAGUACGAAAACCAUCGGGUAAUUUCCAACUGAACCGAUUACGGACGGCGAAUUUAUCCAAACACUUAAGCAAGGAGAGGAUCCUAAAAUCGAAAAACGAAGGCGGAAGGGGCGAGAAGAACGGGGUGGAGUUGGGUGGCGGAGCGAGUGGGACGUUAACUGGCCAAUAGUUUGCAACUGCCGGUCAACACGCGCAGCCUACUCAGCGCUGCUCCGGAGGCGCGGGACGCCGCCUCCACGUGAGCCGCGCUCCUCCCAGUGCCCGGGACGGUGUCGGGGGCGGGCUGCACGGCGAGAAGGGCAAAAUAAAACCAGCCCGAGAGGCCCUGGCUGGGGUUGAGACUGCAGGAGUAACUUCUGCACCGAGGCAGCGCGCAGCCAGUCGGGGAAGAACUCUGCAACCUGACCGAAAGAAAGUCCGACCCUCUCGGGAGGGCUGCCAGGAUGCUGGAGCGAGUGUCAGGGUCCGAGACUCCCAAGUCGGGCGAGGGCUCCUGCCCCUGGCCAUUGGGUACCCCCCUCCGACCAACACCCCCGUCCCGCUUCAGAGCGUCGGCCCCACAGACCUAGAUGGGCAAGAUACCAAAUACUUUUCUUGGAAUACAUCAUCUUGAUUGAAAACUACUAGGAUAUUUUUGAAAAAAUAGCUCAUUAGCUGGCUGGGGAGAGAAACUUUUAAUUGCCAUUGGAUGGAGAUGGACUCCUCGGCUGGAGGAGGGGAAGGCACCAUGCAUGCGUGGCAGGGAAUGCUGGCCAGCCAGCCAAGCGGGGACUUGGGCCAUGCGCCAUAGCCCCAGCUCAGCUAAAAUCUGAGUUCCUGUCUCAUGACCAGGAAAAAUUAGGCACACAGACAAAUUGAAAGUUGAGGAGAGUAGAAUUUAUUAAAAGAAAGCUCUCAGCAAAGAAAGGGGGUCCUGCCAACAGGCUCUCACCUCACAUAUUGAAUAUCAGACCACCACACAGGAGCUGAAGAGGACAGGCUUCUCCCUGCAUAAAGAGUGAAUUCCUGGUGUCUCCACCCUGUUCUCCCAGUGUACAUACAGGUGGGUCCUUAGUCUGAGCCAUUCCACAUUGAUUUAUUUCCCUUACUGCAUAUGUGUUAGGAAAUGAAAUUUUUCACCUUGGGUAUGUUUAAGCAAGCCUCCUGUGCACAGUGCCCUGGUUGGCAUUUGGCUGUCUCCCGUCUCUCUCGCAAGCACACACGAUGACUUGAGAUGAUGCAUAUAUUCAAGGAAUGGAUAUUAUAAAAAUAAAAAUUAUUAAUCUGGGCCAUGUUCACACUUCUGUUGCUCUUUAUUUCCUUGACUGGGGGAAGUUUUC
rnacentral:lncRNA from 10 species